rnacentral:rRNA from 1 species
UACGUAGGGACCGAGCGUUGUCCGGAAUCAUUGGGCGUAAAGAGCGUGUAGGCGGCCUUUUAAGUCCUGCGUGAAAUCCUGCGGCUCAACCGCAGACGGUCGUGGGAAACUGGAAGGCUAGAGUGCGGGAGAGGAGAGUGGAAUUCCCGGUGUAGCGGUGAAAUGCGCAGAUAUCGGGAAGAGCACCCGUGGCGAAGGCGGCUCUCUGGGACGGUACUGACGCUGAGACGCGAAAGCGUGGGGAGCGAACAGG